rnacentral:rRNA from 2 species
AGGCUUAACACAUGCAAGUCGAGGGGCAGCAUGGUCUUAGCUUGCUAAGGCCGAUGGCGACCGGCGCACGGGUGAGUAACACGUAUCCAACCUGCCGUCUACUCUUGGACAGCCUUCUGAAAGGAAGAUUAAUACAAGAUGGCAUCAUGAGUCCGCAUGUUCACAUGAUUAAAGGUAUUCCGGUAGACGAUGGGGAUGCGUUCCAUUAGAUAGUAGGCGGGGUAACGGCCCACCUAGUCUUCGAUGGAUAGGGGUUCUGAGAGGAAGGUCCCCCACAUUGGAACUGAGACACGGUCCAAACUCCUACGGGAGGCAGCAGUGAGGAAUAUUGGUCAAUGGGCGAGAGCCUGAACCAGCCAAGUAGCGUGAAGGAUGACUGCCCUAUGGGUUGUAAACUUCUUUUAUAAAGGAAUAAAGUCGGGUAUGCAUACCCGUUUGCAUGUACUUUAUGAAUAAGGAUCGGCUAACUCCGUGCCAGCAGCCGCGGUAAUACGGAGGAUCCGAGCGUUAUCCGGAUUUAUUGGGUUUAAAGGGAGCGUAGAUGGAUGUUUAAGUCAGUUGUGAAAGUUUGCGGCUCAACCGUAAAAUUGCAGUUGAUACUGGAUAUCUUGAGUGCAGUUGAGGCAGGCGGAAUUCGUGGUGUAGCGGUGAAAUGCUUAGAUAUCACGAGGAACUCCGAUUGCGAAGGCAGCCUGCUAAGCUGCAACUGACAUUGAGGCUCGAAAGUGUGGGUAUCAAACAGGAUUAGAUACCCUGGUAGUCCACACGGUAAACGAUGAAUACUCGCUGUUUGCGAUAUACGGCAAGCGGCCAAGCGAAAGCGUUAAGUAUUCCACCUGGGGAGUACGCCGGCAACGGUGAAACUCAAAGGAAUUGACGGGGGCCCGCACAAGCGGAGGAACAUGUGGUUUAAUUCGAUGAUACGCGAGGAACCUUACCCGGGCUUAAAUUGCAGAUGAAUUACGGUGAAAGCCGUAAGCCGCAAGGCAUCUGUGAAGGUGCUGCAUGGUUGUCGUCAGCUCGUGCCGUGAGGUGUCGGCUUAAGUGCCAUAACGAGCGCAACCCUUGUUGUCAGUUACUAACAGGUUCUGCUGAGGACUCUGACAAGACUGCCAUCGUAAGAUGUGAGGAAGGUGGGGAUGACGUCAAAUCAGCACGGCCCUUACGUCCGGGGCUACACACGUGUUACAAUGGGGGGUACAGAGGGCCGCUACCACGCGAGUGGAUGCCAAUCCCAAAAACCUCUCUCAGUUCGGACUGGAGUCUGCAACCCGACUCCACGAAGCUGGAUUCGCUAGUAAUCGCGCAUCAGCCACGGCGCGGUGAAUACGUUCCCGGGCCUUGUACACACCGCCCGUCAAGCCAUGGGAGCCGGGGGUACCUGAAGUGCGUAACCGCGAGGAGCG